GAUGAACGCUGGCGGCGUGCUUAACACAUGCAAGUCGAACGAUGAAGCUCAGCUUGCUGGGUGGAUUAGUGGCGAACGGGUGAGUAACACGUGAGUAACCUGCCCUUAACUCUGGGAUAAGCCUGGGAAACUAGGUCUAAUACCGGAUAGGAGCGCCUACCGCAUGGUGGGUGUUGGAAAGAUUUAUCGGUUUUGGAUGGACUCGCGGCCUAUCAGCUUGUUGGUGAGGUAAUGGCUCACCAAGGCGACGACGGGUAGCCGGCCUGAGAGGGUGACCGGCCACACGGGGACUGAGACACGGCCCAGACUCCUACGGGAGGCAACAGUGGGGAAUAUUGCACAAGGGGCGAAAGCCUGAUGCAGCGACGCCGCGUGAGGGAUGACGGCCUUCGGGUUGUAAACCUCUUUCAGUAGGGAAGAAGCGAAAGUGACGGUACCUGCAGAAGAAGCACCGGCUAACUACGU
rnacentral:rRNA from 1 species